rnacentral:rRNA from 1 species
UACGUAGGGGGCUAGCGUUGUCCGGAAUCAUUGGGCGUAAAGCGCGUGUAGGCGGUCCGGUAAGUCCGCUGUGAAAGUCGAGGGCUCAACCCUCGAAUGCCGGUGGAUACUGUCGGGCUUGAGUACGGGAGAGGCGAGUGGAAUUCCUGGUGUAGCGGUGAAAUGCGCAGAUAUCAGGAGGAACACCGAUUGCGAAGGCAGCUCGCUGGAACGUUACUGACGCUGAGGCGCGAAAGCUAGGGGAGCAAACGGG